GUUUACAUUACUUUUUUUCUUGUUUGUAACAAUAAUAUUAAAUUAAAUUAAAGCAGGCGGCGUGGUCCUCAAACCUUUCCAGCAGAGCCGCGUACAAUUGGAUAGCUUGAGAGGCGUGAUCAGCCUGGCGAGCGUGUAUUUCGUUAGGGGCUGCACUCUUCAACUCGGGAACAGACUUGGCAGGUAAACGUGUGGUUGUUGUGUUGUGUGUUGACGCUAGGUCAGCCCGUCCGCACCUGUGGCUGACCGUUGUAGCAGUGCACCAGAGUGAGCAACUGCAAGAAGUGUUUUUGUUAGUAAAGGUUGGCUUCAGGAUGUGAUUGUGUGGGUUUUAUGGAUUGAAUUAAAGUACAACAGGACUGGAGAAGUUGGAUUUAUUUAUGAAUUUUAAUUAAU